GUUGGCACUUGCCAAACCUUGGAUGGGCUUUUCUGGCUGAGCUGGGGGCAUCAGUAGAGACAGGCGACACUGAGCCUCUCCAUGCGAUGCAGGCACUGUGGCCAGGCUCCAGUGCUCUCCACCAAGGGACAAGGACAUCACCCAGCUGGCCUCAGCAAAGGGAAGACUCCCUGGCCACCGGGCAUGGCGAAACCAGCUCCUCUCUCUGCCGUUUUCCCCUGUUUCUCCCCCCCGUUUGGCUCUUGGCAGCGGAGCCGCAGCGGUGGCUGGGGCGCGCGGUGCCGGGGAUGGGCUUGCCAAGCAUCGGCAGCCCCCCGCAGCCCCCCGUCCCCUCGUGCCAAGGCUGGUGGCUGGCAGAAGGGCUGCCUGCGCCUGGCAGGGCUCUGUCAGCUGCGGGAGGAUCCCUGCGCCACGCUCGCUGCCAAUUUCCCAGCGAGCUGGCACCACAGGCGGCUCCGGAGGCACCGUCGGAGAAGGCUGGGGAGGACGGAUUGUGAAAGGGAGAGAGGAAAAAAAACACUAAUGGACACAUGCCAUCGCUGGAGCGGCGAGGCUGCCAAAACGCCAGCAGGCAGCACGGGGCCAAAACCCGCCGCAGCAGAGAGGAGGGUCUGGCAGCCCAUCCCGGCGUGGGAUGCAUGGAGGACGGGCAGCACGGCAGAAGCACAGCGUGGUCGAGGCAGGACGGGGAGCAGACGGUGGAGCCGGCGAGGACUGAGAUUCCAGCCCUGUUGGUGCCAUCUCCAUCAAGGGAUGAGGCCAUGACAGAUGGAGCAGCACCCAACCUGGCCCUGGAUGCCACUGUGCAACCCAGCCCCAUUGUGGGACAGUCCUGGUGGGGAGUUUCAUGCCUGGCUGUGCUGUGGAACUCGUGAUGUGGAUGUGCCUCUGGAUUGGUCCUUGCUGGGAUGCACCAACUGCUCGGCACCGAAACUGCUGGGACAUUGCAAUGCAAACUGGACCCCUGGGCCCUGUCACCAUGCUGUGACUGACAGGUCUCAUCAUUCCCAAGGAAUGUGUCCUGGUGAAGGAAAAGGUUUAUUCAUCUGCAGGUUUAUGCAUCCAAAGACCUGCAAACGUGGAGCUUCACCAGACACACUGGGAUGUUGGUCAGGAUUUGGCCAAGGGAGGUGAGAUAUGCUCCCAGCCAUGCUCUGGACCAUGAGAGAUGGUGGCAUUGCUCAGGAGAAUCUACAUGGACCCACCAAGUGAUGUGCCAAGAUCUGGAGCACCAUCAGUCCUCACGAUGCCCCAGGGUGACUGCUCCAUCACCACCCCAGACUGGGAGCUGUGGGUGCACAGGGCUUUUCUUCACAGCACGGGGCCAUCCCAUUCCUCCACCCCUGGGCUGGGAAGUCCUAUAACCUGGUUGGUUUUGGAAGGGGAUGAGGACGCUGUGGGGUGCUGCUGCGGGGUACCGUGGGUGCCACGGGUGCCCAGGCACAGGCAGGGUGACGGGGCUGCCGGUCACUGCCAGGUUACAUCUGCCAGGGCAUGCAAGAGUGACUCCAGAUGCAUUAGAAGUGCCGUGCUCCAAUUUCAA